GCCCUUGUAGUUAAAUGGAUAUAACGGGGUCCUCCUAAGACUCAAUUACAGGUCCGAUUCCUGUCAAGGGCACCA
rnacentral:tRNA from 1 species